rnacentral:rRNA from 1 species
AGUGAACGCUGGCGGUAGGCCUAACACAUGCAAGUCGAACGACAGCACAGUAAGAGCUUGCUCUUACGGGUGGCGAGUGGCGGACAGGUGAGGAAUACAUCGGAAUCUACUUUUUCGUGGGGGAUAACGUAGGGAAACUUACGCUAAUACCGCAUACGACCUACGGGUGAAAGCAGGGGAUCUUCGGACCUUGCGCGAUUGAAUGAGCCGAUGUCGGAUUAGCUAGUUGGCGGGGUAAAGGCCCACCAAGGCGACGAUCCGUAGCUGGUCUGAGAGGAUGAUCAGCCACACUGGAACUGAGACACGGUCCAGACUCCUACGGGAGGCAGCAGUGGGGAAUAUUGGACAAUGGGCGCAAGCCUGAUCCAGCCAUACCGCGUGGGUGAAGAAGGCCUUCGGGUUGUAAAGCCCUUUUGUUGGGAAAGAAAAGCAGCAGGUUAAUACCCCGCUGUUCUGACGGUACCCAAAGAAUAAGCACCGGCCAACUUCGUG